rnacentral:rRNA from 2 species
UACGUAGGGUGCAAGCGUUGUCCGGAAUUAUUGGGCGUAAAGAGCUCGUAGGCGGUUUGUCACGUCGGAUGUGAAAACCCGAGGCUUAACCUCGGGCCUGCAUUCGAUACGGGCUGACUAGAGUUCGGUAGGGGAGACUGGAAUUCCUGGUGUAGCGGUGAAAUGCGCAGAUAUCAGGAGGAACACCGGUGGCGAAGGCGGGUCUCUGGGCCGAUACUGACGCUGAGGAGCGAAAGCGUGGGGAGCGAACAGG